CUACGGGAUGCACCAGUUAGGAAUCUUGCGCAAUGGACGAAAGUCUGACGCAGCGACACCGCGUGUGGGAUGAAUGCCUUCGGGUUGUAAACCACUUUUAUUUGACAAUAUUGUCUUUUGAAUAAGCAACUACUAAUUACGUGCCAGCAGUCGCGGUAAUACGUAAGUUGCAAGCGUUACCCGGUUUUACUGGGCGUAAAGGGUCUGUAGGCGGCCCAAAAAGUCUCAUUUUAAAGCCUCCGGCUCAACCGGAGAAAGGAAUGGGAUACUAUUGGGCUAGAGUCAUACAGGGGCUACUGGAAUUUUUAGUGUAGGGGUAAAAUCCGUGGAUACUAAAAAGAACACCAAGCGCGAAGGCGGGUAGCUAGGUAUGUACUGACGCUGAGAGACGAAAGCUAGGGGAGCAAAUCGGAUUAGAUACCCUAGUAGUC
rnacentral:rRNA from 1 species